GCACUUGUCGUCUAACGGCAGGACGUUGCCUUUUCGGGGCAAGAACAUGGGUUCGACACCCGUCAAGUGCGCCA
rnacentral:tRNA from 1 species